GUGGGGAAUCUUGCGCAAUGGGCGAAAGCCUGACGCAGCCAUGUCGCGUGAAUGAUGAAGGUCUUAGGAUUGUAAAAUUCUUUCACCGGGGACGAUAAUGACGGUACCCGGAGAAGAAGCCCCGGCUAACUUCGUGCCAGCAGCCGCGGUAAUACGAAGGGGGCUAGCGUUGCUCGGAAUUACUGGGCGUAAAGGGCGCGUAGGCGGACAGUUUAGUCAGAGGUGAAAGCCCAGGGCUCAACCUUGGAAUUGCCUUUGAUACUGGCUGUCUUGAGUACGGGAGAGGUGAGUGGAACUCCGAGUGUAGAGGUGAAAUUCGUAGAUAUUCGGAAGAACACCAGUGGCGAAGGCGACUCACUGGCCCGUUACUGACGCUGAGGUGCGAAAGCGUGGGGAGCAAACAGGAUUAGAAACCCGAGUAGUCC
rnacentral:rRNA from 1 species